CGCGCAACAAUCGCGUAGCAGAAGAUAUUUUCAAGCAGCUAGCACGUGUCCCCCUCCUGGUGCCACUGUGGCCGCACUUCACACGCAAAAAUCAAGAUUGCAAAGGGGAAAAUUCCCUUGAAACUGGAAACACGCGCACGCAGCGUCUCAGCGCCCUAACAAGCGCCAGUAUAUACAACGAGGCAGCUCGUUCGAGCAGCGACGUAGUACUUGGCGUGAAGCCUCGGGUGAGACGCCAGGUGGGUACCGGGAACGAUCGUCU
rnacentral:misc_RNA from 1 species